rnacentral:tRNA from 1 species
CACCCGAUGACUGAAAGUAAGUAUAGGUCUUUUAAACCUAAUAUAGUAACCACGCCUACUUCUGGUGG